UAGUCAUAUGCUUGUUUCAAAGAUUAAGCCAUGCAAGUCUAAGUAUAAGCUUUUAUACGGCAAAACUGCGAAUAGCUCAUUACAACAGUUAUAAUUUACACGACGAUCAUUACCAAAUGGAUAUCCAUGGUAAUUCUGGAGCUAAUACAUGCAAAAACACCAAACUUUAGGGAAUGGUGGCAUUCAUUAGCCUUAGAACCAAUCAAGUAGUAAUACUUGUUUCUGGUGAUCAUAAUGACCGAGCGGAUCGCAAAUUGUGCGACAGUUCGUUCAAGUUU
rnacentral:rRNA from 1 species